AGUUUCAUGCAGAAUUCUUUAGCAAUGUGUGUGUGGUUAAUUUUUAUUGCUAGAUUGCUUCCUAAGUUUCUAGCACAUGUGAAUAACUUAUUUAUUAAAUUUAUCUGCAUAAAAAAACUUGUGUUUGAGUCCUCUUCAUCUCGGUUAUUCUUUUCUCAAGACUGCGCUAUUCUAGUGAAUUUGUGAGUUCAAGUUUUUUAAUAACUGAUUUUGACAUCUCUUUGUUCAGAUGAAUUCAGUAGGGAUCCUUUGAGGGUUGAGUUUUCGGACGAUGGAGAUGAGAAGCCCAUUGAUCCCAUAUCUGAUAUUGGCAUCGACAGAAUCAAUGAUGCUAUGUUCAAUAAUUCAACCUAACGAUCACACAUUCAAACCUGUUUCCAAUUGUAUGGUGGAUAUUCUGCCAAGCAGUUGCUGCUGAUGUUGAGUUCUAACAUGUGAUUAUCAAUUUCUUUACCGGAAUUACAAUAUUAUUAUCAUCUUUUCAAAUGAUAAGAAAAAAGAAAUGUAUUUUUUUUAACUCAUGUGCCUUCGCAACUUGUUUAUUUUUCUCACUCUCGUGUACCUUCACAACUUGGUUUUUCUUCCUCACUGUCAUGUACAACAACACUAAUUGUGUGUACCGUUUUGAUGAGCCAACUUUGAAAAGUUAGAUGACAACUAUAACCAUUCAUUUUAAAGAUAAGAGCUAUGUUAUAUGAAUAAUUUUCUCCGGACAAAAAUACGACAAUCAUAUUCUAAUUCUCUCUAUGCACGGUUUCCAAAAUGUGCAUAAAGUAUUCAAAAAAUUAAAAAAGUGGCAUGGAUGCAUAAGUUGUUCUUUUGUUUGAAAAUGGGUUGUUCAAAUAACAUUUUUCUAAAGAUAAUCAUCAAAAACAAAUAAUUUAGCAUAUUCAUCUUUCAAGAGCAAAGUUAUCUCCCAUCGAAUUCCGGAUACUCUAAGUUUAAAAGUGAAAUUCUAGCCAUUAAACUAAUUGAAAAAAGAAAAUCAAUCAUUUCAACUUCCAAAUGUCUUGCAACCAAAAGAAUGUCUACUAGGAGAUGAGUUGAUGCAGGUCAAGAAGGGCGAGGCAGUUGCAGAAGGAGUUUUUCACAGAUGGAUUAACCACUUGUACACUUUGCAAUAUUAUAUUCAAUGUAAUCUUUUUUAUAUCGUUAACUAAUGUCCCGGAGGUACUAGUUAGUUGACUCUUAUUUUGUAACUUUUUUCUCAACUUGUCUUUGAUACUAAUUAUCGUUCUUUAGAGGAGCCAACUUUUGAAAACUUACACAACAACUAUAACCAUUCAAUUUAUAGAUAAUAUCUGAAAAGAAAUAAUUUAUCAUAUUCAUCUUCAAGAGCUAAACUUUGAUUCAUUCCAAUUCUCAUACACCUGAAAAUGGCUUUCCAUUUAGUAGGAACUUUGAUUUCACAACUGGCACCUUAUGUCCAAGAGGAGUAUGCAACAUUUAAAGGUGUUAACAAACAUGCUGAAAAGCUAUCAAGAAAUCUCACUACUAUUCGUGCUGUCCUAGAAGAUGCUGAGAAGAAGCAAAUCACAAGUCAUGCAGUUAAAGAUUGGCUGCUCAACCUAACUGGUGCAGCACAUAUUCUUGAUGAUAUAUUGGACGAAUGUUCGAUACUUUCCGAAGCAAACAGAGACAAAUACUUCAUCAACCAUCCUAAGAAGCUAUAUGCUUGUCGUAGGAUUGGAAAGAAGAUGAAAAAUGUUGCUGAAAGGAUUGAUGAUGCUGUUGCUGAAGUAAGGGGCAAGUUAGGAUUAUUAAUUAAUCCCAGAACCAUGGAGGAUCGUCUUGAAGAUGAUGUAUGGCGCGAAACUACCUCUGUCAUCAUUGAAUUCCAAAUUCAUGGAAGAGAUGAGGAUAGGGAGAAGGUUGUUGACUUUCUUCUCAAGCAUGCUUGUGACAGAGAAGAACUCUCUGUAUAUUCCAUUGUUGGCCAUGGCGGAUAUGGAAAAACAGCACUUGCUCAACUGGUCUUCAAUGAUAAAAGGGUAAAUGCUCACUUUCCUUUGAAAAUAUGGGUUUGUGUUUCUAAUGAUUUUAAUAUGAUGAAACUUUUCCGGUCCAUCAUAGAAAUCGUAGACGGAAAAAAUCCAGAUCUCAUUUCUUUAGAAUCAAUGCAAAGAAAGGUUCAACAGAUUUUCCAAAACAAAAAGUAUUUACUUGUCCUUGAUGAUGUUUGGAGUGAAGACCCAGAGAAAUGGAGCAGGUUCAAGUAUCCGUUGCAAAAUGGAACAAAAGGUGCAUCAAUUUUAGUCACUACGUGACUUGAGACUGUUGCAAACAUUCUGGGACCUCAUCCUGCUCAUCAUUUGGUAGGUUUAUCAGAUGAUGAUAUUUGGUCAUUGUUUAGACAACAAGCUUUUGGACCAAACGAGGAAGAGCGUGCAGAGCUUGUAAAGAUUGGGAAGGUUAUAGUGAGGAAAUGUAAUGGUUCGCCUCUUGCCACCAAAGUACUAGGAAAAACUGGCAAACACCAAUGGGAUUCUAUAGCGAAAAGUGAGAUUUGGAACUUAUAUGAUGAUGCUACCAAGUCUGCUUUGACUUUUUGUGCUAUAUUUGCUAAAGGUUUUGAAAUGGUGAAGGAAGAUCUAAUUCAUCUUUGGAUGGCCAAUGGACUUAUGAACUAUAUCAAAGAUCAUUUUUUCAAGAAGUCAAAACGCAUAGAAAAGGUAAAGUUACAUUCAAAAUGCAUGAUAUAUUCCACGAUAUUGCUACCUCCAUUAUGGGAAAACAAUGCGUAGCUUCAAAGGCUGCUAGCUUGACUAAUUUGUCAGAAAGAGUUCAUCAUAUUAGGUUUUUAGAUGGUGAUGAAAAAUUCAAAUACAGCUUGAUUCCGUUCAAGAAAGUGGAAUCUUUGCGAACUGUUCUUGACUUUGGUUUGCCUAAAUCAAAUUUAAGUGUGUUUCCAUCAAUCACUCCUCUCCGAGUAUUAAGUACAUGCUGUUCUCAACUCUCAGCCUUGAAGAAUUUUAUCCAUUUGAACUUUAUGCAAGUGACAUUAAAAUUCUGCCUGAGUCUAUUUGUAGCCUAAGAAAAUUACAAACACUAAAACUUGUUUAUUGUAACAAGCUUAUUAGUCUUCCCAAACAAUUGUCGCAACUAAAAGAUCUCCGACAUCUCAUGAUUACACGGUGUCCCUCAUUGAGAUCAAUGCCGUCUAAUAUUGGAGAGUUAACUCGUUUGAGAACAUUAAGCACUUUUAUUGUUGGUUCGGAGGCUAGGUUUGGUUUAGCAGAGCUACAAAAUUUACAACUAGGAGGCAAGCUACACAUCAAAUGCCUUGAGAAUGUUUCGAAUGAAACAGAAGCUAGAAAAGCUGAUUUAAUUGGUAAGAAGGACUUAAGUCGCUUAUACUUGUCGUGGCGUAUUAAUGCUAAUUCACAAGUUAGUGAUACUGGCGCUGAGCAAGUCCUUGAAGCCCUUGAGCCUCACACAGGUCUCAAAUGUUUUGGAAUGGAGGGUUAUAAGGGAGUAAGUAUUCCAAAUUGGAUGAGAAAGGCUUCAAUUUUGGAAGGUCUGGUUGAUGUUACACUUUACAACUGUAGAAACUGUGAGCGGCUUCCUCCACUUGGUAAAUUACCAUGUUUAACAACUCUGUAUGUGUCUGACAUGGAAGCUGUGAAGUACAUUGAUGUUGACUUGUAUGAAGGUGCGACCAAUAAGGCUUUUUCAUCGUUAAAGAAAAUGAAGUUACAUAAUUUACCAAAAUUAGAGAGGGUGUUGAAAGCUGAAGGAGUAGAAGUGCUAUCACAAUUUUCUGACUUGGAAAUAAAGGGGGUCCGUAAGCUUGCAUUUCCAUCCCUUCCAUCUGUUGAGACUUUUAAUGCUCUUGGGAAUACUGAAUAUUCCAAUAAUGGUGAUGGUGGUGCAUCUAUCCUGAGGGGAAUUGCUGGUAGUAUACAUAAUCUCAAAAAACUUUCCAUUGUAUGCUUUUAUGAACUCAAGGUACUACCUAAUGAAUUCAGCUCUCUCAGUUCCCUAAAAGAACUACACAUUUCAGGUUGUAAUAAGGUUGUAAUAAGCUUGAGUCUAUCCCCAAGUGUGUACUUCAAGGUUUGAGUUCUCUUCAAGUUUUGAAAUUUACAUUUUGCAUUAGCUUAAAAUCCUUGCCGGAAGGUAUGACAAACCUGACUUGUCUUGAGAGUCUUGAAAUCAUUGAUUGUUCCAAUCUCAUUUUACCAGCUACUAUGAACAAGCUAACUUCCCUUCGUCAAUUGACAAUCACCGGCAGAGAUAAAAAUGGAACUUUACCAAAUGGUUUAGAAGGUAUUCCCUCGCUGCAAAAUUUGUAUUUGUCAAGUUUUCUUUCUCUUGUAACCUUGCCAGACUGGAUGCCAAGAGCACUUUCAUUUUCUCACAGCCAGAAGCAUAUAUUCACUGCAGAAGCUAUCUGUAGUAGCUUUAAGUUUACUGAGGUAGCGGGGUUUCAGAGUUUAGUUCUCUUGUUAGUAUUAAACCUGAAAACUAUCAUGGUUUUCUAAAGAUUAAGUUUGUUAGGCAACAAACAAAUAUGGCUGCUCACUCUUUAACGAGGGCCGACAGUUCUUGGGCUUAGUUACCGUCUUGUUAGAUUUCUCCUCUAUUAUAUUGCAUCAGGUUGUAACACUGUUAUAUUGCAGAAUAUGGAAGGGUAAUUACAAUGUAAAUAAAGGAAUAGAGCAGACACAAUGAAGCAAUUUCUAGAUAAGGGAGAUCCUCUAUGGUAGAGCUAUUGGAUCUAGGUGCAAGGAAGUGCAGUUGUAUCUACCAUCUCUGCAAAUGCUAGUUGGCCUCAUAAACAAUGGUCUGUGUUUAGCAGGCUUCACCUUUAGCUAGAUGAAAGGUAUUCGAUUCAUUUUUGGCCUUGCAACUUUAGGAUUAGAUGCAUUUAAACUCCAACUGCCGGAGCAAGAUUGCAUUCACCAGUUUUUCAUUUUCCCGGUCGGAAAGGGUAGCAGAACAUAAAUCAAGUCAUUUUCCUGGUCGAAAAGGGUUGCUGGAGCAAGCUUGCAUACACUCAAUCCAUUUCAAAACUUAGUUUGUAAUUGAGAGGAAAAUUGACCAAAGAUGAUGCUAGAAAACUGGUUUAUUAAGAUGACCAUACAUUUCAAUGGAUUGUUUUGUUGCAAUUCAUUGUCUUCUCCUUUGUACGUUGCUAAUAUACAUUUGUGCUUAGUAGAUUUCAGAGUAUCCUAAUAGUAGAGAUAAAACAAGUUUCGUGUAUCUGAGGUAGCGAUGUAAUACUGAAAAUUUAGAAUUCACACGGCAUGACAGGCGGACAUUCUCUUUCCAAAAUCAAGCUGCUGCAAUUAUUAUUCCCAGCAUUGCAUCCAUCAAUGUCACAGAGAGGAUAACGGUUUCUUUCGGUGCUUCAAAUUCCAAUCAUGGUAGCUGCUGCUGGAUUCAUAUUGCCUACAAUGUAGAACAACCUUAUAUUUAUAUGUUAUAUGUAGAACAAAUCAAAUUAUAAGAUGGUAUCAUAGCCUAUUAUAGAUCCGUUUUUUUGGAUUUCUCGUCCACGCUUUAAGUGGUGCUAGCCGUGAGGGUUGUGUUGAAAAUUCGGUCUUAAUUGCAGUCCGCCCUUGGCCGCUUGAUGCAGUAUUUGGGUUGCCUUCAUUGCAGCUUCCAAAACCUUCAUUUUGUUGGGUGUGAGGAGGUGGGUUUAGUCCCACAUUACCUAGAUAUGGCCUUGGGCUUGGCCAUAUCUGACAUCGGCAUUGACAGAAUCAAUGAUGCUAUGUUCAAUAAUCCAACCUAACGAUCACACAUUCAAACCUGUU
rnacentral:lncRNA from 1 species